rnacentral:rRNA from 1 species
UACAGAGGGUGCGAGCGUUGUUCGGAAUUAUUGGGCGUAAAGGGCGCGUAGGCGGUGCCACAAGUCACUUGUGAAAUCUCCGGGCUUAACUCGGAGCCUGCAGGCGAAACUGUGGUGCUGGAGUGUGGGAGAGGUGCGUGGAAUUCCCGGUGUAGCGGUGGAAAUGCGUAGAUAUCGGGAGGAACACCUGGUGGCAGAAAGGCGGCGCGACCUAGGACCAUAACUGACGGCUGAGGCGACGAAAGGCAUAGGGGAGUCAAACAGGAUUCGAGAU